rnacentral:rRNA from 1 species
CCUACGGGCGGCUGCAGUGAGGAAUAUUGGUCAAUGGACGAAAGUCUGAACCAGCCAUGCCGCGUGCAGGAUGACGGCUCUAUGAGUUGUAAACUGCUUUUGUACGAGGGUAAACCUCAAUACGUGUAUUCUGCUGAAAGUACCGUACGAAUAAGGAUCGGCUAACUCCGUGCCAGCAGCCGCGGUAAUACGGAGGAUCCAAGCGUUAUCCGGAUUUAUUGGGUUUAAAGGGUGCGUAGGCGGAUUGAUAAGUUAGAGGUGAAAUGUCCGGGCUCAACUCGGGAACUGCCUCUAAUACUGUUGAACUAGAGAGUAGAUGCGGUAGGCGGAAUGUAUGGUGUAGCGGUGAAAUGCUUAGAGAUCAUACAGAACACCGAUUGCGAAGGCAGCUUACCAAGCUAUAUCUGACGUUGAGGCACGAAAGCGUGGGGAGCAAACAGGAUUAGAUACCCGAGUAGUC